UGCGGGGUGGAGCAGUUGGUAGCUCGUCAUGCUCAUAACUUGAAGGUCCUGGGUUCGAGUCCCAGCCCCGCAACCA
rnacentral:tRNA from 1 species